UACCAUGCAGUCGACGGUGAGCCCAGCUUGCUGGGUGGAUCAGUGGCGAACGGGUGAGUAACACGUGAGCAACCUGCCCCUGACUCUGGGAUAAGCGCUGGAAACGGCGUCUAAUACUGGAUACGAACAACGGCCGCAUGGCCAGUUGUUGGAAAGAUUUUUUGGUUGGGGAUGGGCUCGCGGCCUAUCAGCUUGUUGGUGAGGUAAUGGCUCACCAAGGCGUCGACGGGUAGCCGGCCUGAGAGGGUGACCGGCCACACUGGGACUGAGACACGGCCCAGACUCCUACGGGAGGCAGCAGUGGGGAAUAUUGCACAAUGGGCGGAAGCCUGAUGCAGCAACGCCGCGUGAGGGAUGACGGCCUUCGGGUUGUAAACCUCUUUUAGCAGGGAAGAAGCGAAAGUGACGGUACCUGCAGAAAAAGCGCCGGCUAACUACGUGCCAGCAGCCGCGGUAAUACGUAGGGCGCAAGCGUUAUCCGGAAUUAUUGGGCGUAAAGAGCUCGUAGGCGGUUUGUCGCGUCUGCUGUGAAAUCCCGAGGCUCAACCUCGGGCCUGCAGUGGGUACGGGCAGACUAGAGUGCGGUAGGGG
rnacentral:rRNA from 1 species